rnacentral:rRNA from 1 species
UCCCUUUCCUUGAAGAACUGUAAUGUCAUUAAUUUGGUGUUGCAGGGAAACAGGACUGUUACUUUGAAAAAAUUAGAGCGUUUAAAGCAGGCUAACGCUUGAAUACAUUAGCAUGGAAUAAUGAAAUAGGACGUUCGAUCCUAUUUUGUUGGUUUCUAGGAUUGACGUAAUGAUUAAUAGGGAUAGUUGGGGGCAUUAGUAUUCAAUUGUCAGAGGUGAAAUUCUUGGAUUUAUUGAAGACUGACUACUGCGAAAGCAUUUGCCAAGGAUGUUUUCAUUAAUCAAGAACGAAAGUUAGGGGAUCGAAGACGAUCAGAUACCGUCGUAGUCUUAACCAUAAACUAUGCCGACUAGGGAUCGGAUGAUGUUAAUUUUUUAAUGACUCGUUCGGCGCCUUACG